GGAAGUAAAAGUCGUAACAAGGUUUCCGUAGGUGAACCUGCGGAAGGAUCAUUACCUAGAGUUGUAGGCUUUGCCUGCUAUCUCUUACCCAUGUCUUUUGAGUACCUUCGUUUCCUCGGCGGGUUCGCCCGCCGAUUGGACAGUUUAAACCAUUUGCAGUUGCAAUCAGCGUCUGAAAAAACUUAAUAGUUACAACUUUCAACAACGGAUCUCUUGGUUCUGGCAUCGAUGAAGAACGCAGCGAAAUGCGAUAAGUAGUGUGAAUUGCAGAAUUCAGUGAAUCAUCGAAUCUUUGAACGCACAUUGCGCCCCUUGGUAUUCCAUGGGGCAUGCCUGUUCGAGCGUCAUUUGUACCUUCAAGCUCUGCUUGGUGUUGGGUGUUUGUCUCGCCUCUGCGCGUAGACUCGCCUCAAAACAAUUGGCAGCCGGCGUAUUGAUUUCGGAGCGCAGUACAUCUCGCGUUUUGCAUCACAACGACGACGUCCAAAAGUACAUUUUUUACACUCUUGACCUCGGAUCAGGUAGGGAUACCCGCUGAACUUAAGCAUAUCAAAGGC
rnacentral:rRNA from 1 species